UAGGGAAUCUUCGGCAAUGGACGAAAGUCUGACCGAGCAACGCCGCGUGAGUGAAGAAGGUUUUCGGAUCGUAAAACUCUGUUGUUAGAGAAGAACAAGGACGUUAGUAACUGAACGUCCCCUGACGGUAUCUAACCAGAAAGCCACGGCUAACUACGUGCCAGCAGCCGCGGUAAUACGAAGGUGGCAAGCGUUUUCCGGAUUUAUUGGGCGUAAAGCGAGCGCAGGCGGUUUCUUAAGUCUGAUGUGAAAGCCCCCGGCUCAACCGGGGAGGGUCAUUGGAAACUGGGAGACUUGAGUGCAGAAGAGGAGAGUGGAAUUCCAUGUGUAGCGGUGAAAUGCGUAGAUAUAUGGAGGAACACCAGUGGCGAAGGCGGCUCUCUGGUCUGUAACUGACGCUGAGGCUCGAAAGCGUGGGGAGCAAACAGG
rnacentral:rRNA from 1 species